rnacentral:rRNA from 1 species
ACGGGUGAGUAACGCGUGGGAAUCUACCCUGAACUGCGGGAUAGCUCCGGGAAACUGGAAUUAAUACCGCAUGUGCCCUGAGGGGCAAAGAUUUAUCGGUUCAGGAUGAGCCCGCGUCCGAUUAGCUAGUUGGUGGGGUAAAGGCCUACCAAGGCGACGAUCGGUAGCUGGUCUAAGAGGAUGAUCAGCCACAUUGGGACUGAGACACGGCCCAAACUCCUACGGGAGGCAGCAGUGGGGAAUAUUGGACAAUGGGCGCAAGCCUGAUCCAGCCAUGCCGCGUGAGUGAUGAAGGCCCUAGGGUUGUAAAGCUCUUUCACCGGGGACGAUAAUGACGGUACCCGGAGAAGAAGCCCCGGCUAACUUCGUGCCAGCAGCCGCGGUAAUACGAAGGGGGCUAGCGUUGUUCGGAAUUACUGGGCGUAAAGCGCACGUAGGCGGACAUUUAAGUCAGGGGUGAAAUCCCGGGGCUCAACCCCGGAACGGCCUUUGAUACUGGGUGUCUUGAGUUCGGAAGAGGUGAGUGGAAUUGCGAGUGUAGAGGUGAAAUUCGUAGA